rnacentral:lncRNA from 1 species
UUUUACUGGCUUUUGAUAUGUUUUAGAAAAAAAUAUCAUCAUAAUUUUUUUGGAAUUUCUUUGAAUUUGUUUUACAAAAUCGUAUCCCCCUUAUAAUGUUGAUUUUUGUUGUUAACAAAAACGUUUUUCAAAAUACAGGUGUGAAUUUGUCAUACAUUUUGUUAUUAUUACUUUUAUAUUGUGCAUUGCUUACAGAUAGGUCAAAUGAUUAUACAGGUCAUUUGAUAUCAUGUACAGACCACGCCUUAUUGUUUUAAAAUAGAUCUGGAUAACAAGAUAUAUAAAUCACUAUCACUUAUUUAUUGUAGAAAUUUCUUCAUUUACUACAGAAUCAAAACAGUUAAAUCCCGUUGUUUCCAUUGGUCACAAUUGUACAGCAUGAUAAGAUUGUCGUCUAUAAUCCACGUGCUAUAAUCAGUUUAAGCGACAGAGAAUUAUGAAAUAAGAACCGCUGAUUAUAUUCUCAUUUAAAGGUCUUUCUAGUAUUAAUAAAUAGUGCAUAACUGUGAUUUAUGGAACUCGUCAAUUUCCGUUCAUGAUCUGUGCUCUAUCUUUUUUUU